CUUACAUUAAGUUACAACGACGACAUCGAAAGCAUAAUACUCUUUGUCUUUCUUUCUUUCACCCUAUUUCUUAUUUCUAUUGAUUACACUCAUAUAACUGCGUCGAAGAGGAAACGCGCGACGUUUCCGGAAAACGCUCCUCUUUAGUAAAAAAAAAAAAAAAAAAAAGAGAAGACGAUUAUAAAUUUACUGCAAACAUUAUUUAUGUUACAUGACGCUUAGCUAAAUUUUAUUAUCGCGAUCAUUUUGUCCUUAUUAUUAUGCUCUGAAUGUUAUCUAUUUUACAUCCAUACUACAUUCUCCAAGGUGGAACCGAUGAAAGUUAUUCGCAAUAGUGUAUACAUAAUUUUGACAUCUUUCGAUGACACAGUCCCGAACAAAAUUAUAUUAUUAAAAUAUUA